AUUGAACGCUGGCGGCAGGCCUAACACAUGCAAGUCGAAUGGUAACAGGAAACAGCUUGCUGUUUCGCUGACGAGUGGCGGACGGGUGAGUAAUGUCUGGGAAACUGCCUGAUGGAGGGGGAUAACUACUGGAAACGGUAGCUAAUACCGCAUAACGUCGCAAGACCAAAGAGGGGGACCUUCGGGCCUCUUGCCAUCAGAUGUGCCCAGAUGGAUUAGCUAGUAGGGGGGGUAACGGCUCACCUAGGCGACGAUCCCUAGCUGGUCUGAGAGGAUGACCAGCCACACUGGAACUGAGACACGGUCCAGACUCCUACGGGAGGCAGCAGUGGGGAAUAUUGCACAAUGGGCGCAAGCCUGAUGCAGCCAUGCCGCGUGUAUGAAGAAGGCCUUCGGGUUGUAAAGUACUUUCAGCGGGGAGGAAGGGAGUAAAGUUAAUACCUUUGCUCAUUGACGUUACCCGCAGAAGAAGCACCGGCUAACUCCGUG
rnacentral:rRNA from 1 species